CAGUCGCCGCGGGAAUACGAAGGGGGCUAGCGUUGUUCGGAUUUACUGGGCGUAAAGCGCACGUAGGCGGAUCGAUCAGUCAGGGGUGAAAUCCCAGAGCUCAACUCUGGAACUGCCUUUGAUACUGUCGAUCUGGAGUAUGGAAGAGGUGAGUGGAAUUCCGAGUGUAGAGGUGAAAUUCGUAGAUAUUCGGAGGAACACCAGUGGCGAAGGCGGCCAUCUGGGACAACACUGACGCUGAGGUACGAAAGCGUGGGGAGCAAACAGGAUUAGAUACCCGUGUAGUCCCUGUCUCUUAUAC
rnacentral:rRNA from 1 species